UACGUAGGGGGCAAGCGUUAUCCGGAUUUACUGGGUGUAAAGGGAGCGUAGACGGCGAUGCAAGUCUGAAGUGAAAGGCGGGGGCCCAACCCCCGGACUGCUUUGGAAACUGUAUGGCUGGAGUGCAGGAGAGGUAAGUGGAAUUCCUAGUGUAGCGGUGAAAUGCGUAGAUAUUAGGAGGAACACCAGUGGCGAAGGCGGCUUACUGGACUGUAACUGACGUUGAGGCUCGAAAGCGUGGGGAGCGAACAGG
rnacentral:rRNA from 1 species